GGCGGGGUGGAGCAGCCCGGUAGCUCGUCAGGCUCAUAACCUGAAGGUCGUCAGUUCAAAUCUGGCCCCCGCAACCA
rnacentral:tRNA from 4 species